rnacentral:misc_RNA from 1 species
UUAAGUUCAGCGGGUAUUCCUACCUGAUCCGAGGUCAAACUCUGAGAGUCGGGGGUUUUACGGCGUGGCCGCGCCGCGCUCCGGUGCGAGGUGUGCUACUACGCAGGGGAGGCUGCGGCGGGACCGCCACUGUAUUUGGGGGGCGGCGGGCCCCGGAGGGCCUGGUGCCGGUCCCCAACGCCGCGUGCCCCGGGGGGCCG